UUCCUGGUGGCUCACCAGUAAAGAAUCUGCCUGCAAUGCAGGAGAUGCAGGUUCUAAUCCUAGUCAGGAAG
rnacentral:tRNA from 1 species